rnacentral:tRNA from 1 species
GUUAUUUUGGCAGAAUAGUGCAUUGGAUUUAGAAUCUAAUUAUGUAAUUUUAUUACAAGUAAUA